UGGGGAAUUUUGGACAAUGGGGGAAACCCUGAUCCAGCCAUUCCGCGUGAGUGAAGAAGGCCUUCGGGUUGUAAAGCUCUUUCAGCAGGAACGAAACGGUGUGGGCUAAUACCCUGCAUCACUGACGGUACCUGAAGAAGAAGCACCGGCUAACUACGUGCCAGCAGCCGCGGUAAUACGUAGGGUGCGAGCGUUAAUCGGAAUUACUGGGCGUAAAGCGUGCGCAGGCGGUUUUGUAAGUCAGAUGUGAAAUCCCCGGGCUUAACCUGGGAACUGCGUUUGAAACUACAAGGCUAGAGUGUAGCAGAGGGGGGUGGAAUUCCACGUGUAGCAGUGAAAUGCGUAGAGAUGUGGAGGAACACCGAUGGCGAAGGCAAUCCCCUGGGCCUGCACUGACGCUCAUGCACGAAAGCGUGGGGAGCAAACAGG
rnacentral:rRNA from 1 species